rnacentral:lncRNA from 1 species
CUACCUACCAACAGGCAAUUAUAUGCCUGGGAUCCGUGGGGAAUUGGGUUGUGCUUUCCUGCCCGUCCCUUUCCUCUCUUGGAAGCAGCCAUAUUUUGCAGCAUGACCCUGACAGGGAACACUGUAGGAGGUGCAGAGGGGCUGAGCUGAAUUGCUGCUGUGGUGCCACAAAUAAGAACUCUGCAGCUCAGUUGCUGCCUCUGCCCGGUGCUCUGUCACUGCACGUAAUAAAGAGAAUUUUCUUUGGCUCUCAGUAAAUUGUUCACUGAAGCUCUGACUCCUCCUGGAUUUUGUUGACACUGAUGUGUCUAAUCCUUCUGAAGCUGGUUAUACCCCUGUCUGGGAGAAGAAAAGUUACCAGCAUGCCCAUUCCAGCAGGCCACGUGUGGAAGAGAAGGGCAAUGGAGCAGCACUGCAACCUCUUGGGAGCAAACAGAGUGAUGGCAGGGAUCAGGGCUUCCUCAGAAGGAGGACUGGGCAGGCCAUCCUGUGAGGACCUUUCUGCACAUUUCAAGGGGUGGUUAGUGAUGCAUCUUGCCAGCCAGUCCCUGUCCUUGUCCCCGUUCUCGGCACCCUGCUGGCAAUGUCUGAGAGUGAGGGUGAUGUCUGCUGAAGCACGUGAGCCUUCCUGCACUCAGGGAGAGGUGAGAUCUGAGCACACAUCACAUCCAGAAAAACCAGGAAAAAAAGAAACAGACAUGGAGAAAACAGGGCCUUUUGCUGAUGCUGUCUAAGUCUAAAAACAUCUGACUUCAGCUGAACACGAUGGCAUAGACUCCUAUUGCAAAGAAACUUCGGUGGCUAUUUGGGGUUUUACCAAUAGAGGGCUCUAUUGGUUUGAUUUAAGUCACCAAGAAGGGGGAGCUAGACUUUUUUUUUUUUUUGGAGAGGAUGGUAAGGUUGCUAUAGAAAAUCCUAUAACCUAUAUAAAAGUGGAGUCAGCUGAAGUGCAUUGAAAGAAAUGCCUAAAGGGACAUCGUUUAGGCGUUGCUCUAUCUGUUUUGUUGUUGGUUUGUUUUGGUAUUUUGGAAUACUGAUGCUGGUGGACUUGCUUAUCUGCUUUCAGAAAGGCACAGUCCAGAGCACUGUGAGGUAUUUUAGGAAUAGGACCAUAUUAGCAGUGUGAUAAUUUUAAAUGACCUGCAAUGUUUAAAGCCUACCAAAAAUAAAAUUUUAUGACCGUAACUCCUUUACCA